UACGUAGGGGGGCAAGCGUUUGUCCGGAUUCAUUGGGCGUAAAGAGCGUGUAGGCGGCCUGAAAGGUCAGCUGUGAAAACUCGGGGCUCAACCCCGAGACGUCGGUUGAAACCAUCUGGCUAGAGUCCGGAAGAGGAGUGUGGAAUUCCCGGUGUGAGCGGUGAAAUGCGCAGAUAUCGGGAAGAACACCCGUGGCGAAGGCGGCACUCUGGGACGGUACUGACGCUGAGACGCGAAAGCGUGGGGAGCGAACAGG
rnacentral:rRNA from 1 species